AAGCGGUGGAGCAUGUGGCUUAAUUCGAGGCUACGCGAAGAACCUUAUCCUGGACUUGACAUGUGCGAAAGCGCUAGGAAGUAGCUGCCGGAAACGGCCAGCCAACGGUAUCCAGUCCGGAACCUAGUACAGGUGCUGCAUGGCUGUCGUCAGCUCGUGUCGUGAGAUGUUAGGUUAAGUCCUGUAACGAGCGAAACCCUUGUCCUUAGUUGCAACCGCAAGGGCACUCUAGGGAGACUGCAGGUGUUAAGCCUGGAGAAGGUGGGGAUG
rnacentral:rRNA from 1 species